CCUACGGGAGGCAGCAGUGGGGAAUAUUGGACAAUGGGGGGAACCCUGGUCCAGCGACGCCGCGUGAGUGAAGAAGUAUUUCGGUAUGUAAAGCUCUAUCAGCAGGGAAGAAAGAAAUGACGGUACCUGACUAAGAAGCCCCGGCUAACUACGUGCCAGCAGCCGCGGUAAUACGUAGGGGGCAAGCGUUAUCCGGAUUUACUGGGUGUAAAGGGAGCGUAGACGGCGAUGCAAGUCUGAAGUGAAAGGCGGGGGCCCAACCCCUGGACUGCUUUGGAAACUGUAUGGCUGGAGUGCAGGAGAGGUAAGUGGAAUUCCUAGUGUAGCGGUGAAAUGCGUAGAUAUUAGGAGGAACACCAGUGGCGAAGGCGGCUUACUGGACUGUAACUGACGUUGAGGCUCGAAAGCGUGGGGAGCAAACAGGAUUAGAUACCCGAGUAGUC
rnacentral:rRNA from 1 species